CCUAGCGGUAAAAAAUUAAUCCACAACAUCAGCGCCAGGAAGUUACGAGUGCAAACUUAAAAUCCAAAGGAUUUGACGGGGUCCCACCCAUCUAGAGGAGCCUGUUCUUUAAUCGAUAAUCCUCGAUACACCCUACCGUUUUUUGCUACUCAGUCUGUAUACCUCCGUCGUAAGCUUACCAUUUGAGUGCAAAAAAGUAAGUCUAAUGAUCAUACACCAACACGUCAGGUCAAGGUGCAACCAAUAAAACGGUAAGCAAUGGGCUACAAUCUCUAUAAUAGAACACACGAAAUACUACAUGAAAAACAGUCAUGAAGGCGGAUUUAGCAGUAAAAGAAGAAUAGCGUGCUUCUUUUAACUAGGCCCUGGGACGUGUACAAACCGCCCGUCACCCUCUUCAACAGCAAAUCUUAAUUUAUAAUCUUCAAACGCACCCUGAAGGGCAAGUCGUAACAUGGUAAGCGUACUGGAAGGUGCACUUGGCAAACCAAAAUGUGCUUAAACAAAGCAUCUUGCUUACACCAAAAAAAUAUCUGUUUAACCCGGGAUCAUUUUGAGCCAAUAGAUCUAGGCCUAUUUAAACAUGAAUUUUUUUCUCCCCCACAAAAAUCUUAAUAAAACAUUUUAACUUUAUAGUAGAGGCGAUCAAAAAAUU
rnacentral:rRNA from 1 species